GACGAACGCUGGCGGCGUGCUUAACACAUGCAAGUCGAACGGAAAGACCCUGCUUUUGUUGGUUUCUCGAUUGGCGAACGGGUGAGUAACACGUGAGUAACCUGCCCUUGUCUUUGUGAUAACUUCUGGAAACUGGGGCUAAUACCGGAUAGGAUCUCCUGCUGCAUGUUGGGGGUUGGAAAGUUUCGGCGGUUGGGUAUGGACUCGCUGCUUAUCAGCUUGUUGGUGGGGUAGUUGCUUACCAAGGCAUUGACGGGUAGCCGGCCUGAGAGGGUAACCGGCCACAUUGGGACUGAGAUACGGCGCAGAAGCCUACGGGAGGCAGCAGUGGGGAAUAUUGCAGAAUGGGCGGAAGCCUGAUGCAGCAACGCUGCGUGCGGGAUGAUGGCCUUCGGGUUGUAAACAGAUUUCGCCUGUGACGAAGCGUGAGUGACGGUAAUGGGUAAAGAAGCACCGGCUAACUACGUG
rnacentral:rRNA from 1 species